rnacentral:rRNA from 1 species
UACGUAGGGUGCAAGCGUUAAUCGGAAUUACUGGGCGUAAAGCGUGCGCAGGCGGUUUUGUAAGUCUGUCGUGAAAUCUCCGGGCUCAACCUGGGAAUUGCGAUGGAGACUGCAAGGCUAGAAUCUGGCAGAGGGGGGGUAGAAUUCCACGUGUAGCAGUGAAAUGCGUAGAGAUGUGGAGGAACACCGAUGAGCGAAGGCAGCCCCCUGGGUCAAGAUUGACGCUCAUGCACGAAAGCGUGGGGAGCAAACAGG